CCUACGGGAGGCAGCAGUGAGGAAUAUUGGUCAAUGGACGCGAGUCUGAACCAGCCAUGUAGCGUGCAGGAUGACGGCCCUAUGAGUUGUAAACUUCUUUUGUAAAGGAAUACAAGGAGGCACGUGUGCCUUUUUGCAUGUACUUUAUGAAUAAGGAUCGGCUAACUCCGUGCCAGCAGCCGAGGUAAUACGGAGGAUCCGAGCGUUAUCCGGAUUUAUUGGGGUUAAAGGGAGCGUAGGUGGGUUGUUAAGUCAGAGGUGAAAGUCUGCGGCUCAACCGUAGAAUUGCAUUUGAUACUGGCAGGCUAGAGAACAGUUGCGGUAGGCGGAAUGCGUGGUGUAGCGGUGAAAUGCUUAGAUAUCACGAAGAACCCCGAUUGCGAAGGCAGCUUACUAAGCUGUGACUGACAUUGAUGCUCGAAAGUGUGGGUAGCAAACAGGAUUAGAUACCCUAGUAGUC
rnacentral:rRNA from 1 species